rnacentral:rRNA from 1 species
UGGGGCAACUAGUCAGCUAUGAGCUUUGCCUGCUAUCUCUUACCCAUGUCUUUUAAGUACCUUACGUUUCCUCGGCGGGUCCGCCCGCCGAUUGGACAAUUUAAACCAUUUGCAGUUGCAAUCAGCGUCUGAAAAAACUUAAUAGUUACAACUUUCAACAACGGAUCUCUUGGUUCUGGCAUCGAUGAAGAACGCAGCGAAAUGCGAUAAGUAGUGUGAAUUGCAGAAUUCAGUGAAUCAUCGAAUCUUUGAACGCACAUUGCGCCCCUUGGUAUUCCAUGGGGCAUGCCUGUUCGAGCGUCAUUUGUACCUUCAAGCUCUGCUUGGUGUUGGGUGUUUGUCUCGCCUCUGCGUGUAGACUCGCCUCAAAACAAUUGGCAGCCGGCGUAUUGAUUUCGGAGCGCAGUACAUCUCGCGCUUUGCACUCAUAACGACGACGUCCAAAAGUACAUUUUUACACUCUUGACCUCGGAUCAGGUAGGGAUACCCGCUGAACUUAAGCAUAUCAAUAAGCGGAGGAA